AUUCGUAGAAGCAGCACUUCGAAUUCACCAUUUCCCGAUGAAUCAUUGAAGUUGAGCAAAGUUGAGCGUGGCUGGUAUCCGAAUGGGUGACCAUUUGGGCAAUCGAGUGCUGCUGGAC
rnacentral:rRNA from 1 species